rnacentral:rRNA from 1 species
AGUGAACGCUGGCGGUAGGCCUAACACAUGCAGGUCGAACGGCAGCACAGUAAGAGCUUGCUCUUACGGGUGGCGAGUGGCGGACGGGUGAGGGAUACAUCGGAAUCUACUUUUUCGUGGGGGAUAACGUAGGGAAACUUACGCUAAUACCGCAUACGACCUACGGGUGAAAGCAGGGGAUCUUCGGACCUUGCGCGAUUGAAUGAGCCGAUGUCGGAUUAGCUAGUUGGCGGGGUAAAGGCCCACCAAGGCGACGAUCCGUAGCUGGUCUGAGAGGAUGAUCAGCCACACUGGAACUGAGACACGGUCCAGACUCCUACGGGAGGCAGCAGUGGGGAAUAUUGGACAAUGGGCGCAAGCCUGAUCCAGCCAUACCGCGUGGGUGAAGAAGGCCUUCGGGUUGUAAAGCCCUUUUGUUGGGAAAGAAAAGCAGCAGGUUAAUACCCCGCUGUUCUGACGGUACCCAAAGAAUAAGCACCGGCUAACUUCGUG